GUUCCGGUGGCUCAGUUGGUAGAGCGCCGCCUCGACACGACGGAGGUCCCUGGUUCGAUUCCAGGCCGGAACAC
rnacentral:tRNA from 1 species